UACUAGAGUAGCACUCGCAUAUCAAUAAGCGGAGGAAAAGAAACUAACAAGGAUUCCCCUAGUAACGGCGAGUGAAGCAGGAAGAGCUCAAAUUUGAAAUCUUAAAGGGUUUCCCUUUACGAAUUGUAGUUUAAAGAAGUGUUUUCUGUUGAGGUUUUGGUAAAAGUUCUUUGGAAUAGGACAUCAUAGAGGGUGAGAAUCCCGUAUUUGACCUUUACUUUCAACUUUGUGAUACACUUUCAAAGAGUCGGAUUGUUUGGGAAUGCAGUCCAAAAUGGGUGGUAAAUUUCAUCUAAAGCUAAAUAUUGGCGAGAGACCGAUAGCGAACAAGUACCGUGAGGGAAAGAUGAAAAGAACUUUGAAAAGAGAGUUAAACAGUACGUGAAAUUGUCAAAAGGGAAGCGUUUGACACCAGUGUUGUUUUUCUGAAAAUCAAUUAAAGAACUGUUUAUGCUAAGUUGUUUAGACUUUAUCAGCUAACUGUUUAGUUUUGAGCUUUUCUUUAAUGCACUUUUCAGUUAACAAGUCAACAUCAAUUUCUUUUGCUGUAAAAAAGCUUGAGGAAGGUGGCUUGAGAUUCGUCUUAAGUGUUUAUAGCCUCUUGCCUAUGCAGUCGGAGAGAUCGAGGUCUGCAGCGUAGAUCCUUCGGGGCUAAAUGCAUUUGUGCUAAGUUAUAGCAUUUUAUAGACAACUUGUUGACUAUGAUUUGUCUUGUAGCUUACUCGCUUAUGUUAUUUUACCUACGCUUAGGAUGUUGAGCGCAUGUCUCUCUCU
rnacentral:rRNA from 1 species